GGCAGAUUCAUUUUUCUGCCGACGUGCAAUACACUAAGCAAGGGAUGCCCAAAUACUUAUCUGGGAUAAUGGAAUAGGACCCUGUCCUCCUAUUUUCAGUUGGUUUUGGCAGCGCGAGGACUAGGGUAAUGAUUAAUAGGGAUAGUUGGGGGCAUUAAUAUUUAAUUGUCAGAGGUGAAAUUCUUGGAUUUAUGAAAGAUUAACUUCUGCGAAAGCAUCUGCCAAGGAUGUUUUCAAUUAAUCAAGAACGAAAGUUAGGGGAUCGAAGACGAUCAGAUACCGUCGUAGUCUUAACCAUAAACGAUGCCGACCAGCGAUUAGGAGACGUUGAAUACAAAACACCACCACCGGCGCGGUCGUCCUUGGCGUGUGUGUUCACGCACGAGCGCGCGGGCGGUUUA
rnacentral:rRNA from 1 species